rnacentral:lncRNA from 1 species
UUUUCUUGCAUGCUUCCUAGGAGUGUUUUGAGGUGUUUUUAGGAGGUUUUUGGGGGUAUGUUUAGAGUUAUGUUCUUGUUGUUUGGUGCCUCAUUUGAGUCCACCUGUGUAGGUUCGGACCCGAGGAACCGAGACCCCCGGUUGUGAGAUAGUCGUUCAGAGUUCGUUGUUAAAGCUUCAGUCACCAGGUGAGUGGAACAACCCCUUAAGUUUUAAAGUAAAGUAAAUGAAUAAAUGAAUGAAUCAUAAAGCAUUGCCCAUGCAUCAUUAUGCCAUGCAAUAUUUCAGGAUGUUUGCACUAGAAUUCACGAAUAUGCUGCAUUGCAUAAAUUGAUGUUGAUGUGGAUGGUUGUUGGGUGAUCCAUAGUCCUCUGAUGUUAUGUUAUGAUGAUAUGUUAUGGAAGACCAGCGAGGCCCAUUCUACGCCCCUGGCACUAUGUAAGAGAAAGACCAACGAGGCCCAUUCUACGCCCCUGGCACUUUAGAAUGUUAUGUUAUUUAAGAGAAAGACCAGUGAGGCCCAUUCUACGCCCCUGGCAUUUGGAGAUGUUGAGGACUAAUGGUGACAAUACCAUCCUUUAUGUGAUUAGCUGUGAUGUGUUGCAUUUCAUGAAAGCAUGAAUAAGAAAAAGUUAAAUAAUAAUAUACCUAAAAAUGGAGGAAUUAUAAUAAUAAUAAAAUGAAUAAUAAUAUACCUAAAAAUGGAGGAAUUAAAGCAAAUGUUUUUAGUUUCUGCUCAUUGGGCUUUAUAGCUCACCCCCUCUCCCCUAACCCCAGUCUUGCAGGUGCAGAGUAGAUAGAGAAGUCAGCAGAGUAAGAGAAGUUUAUGUAAUAGCUUAGCUGUGGAC